UGGUGGAGUAAUUUGUCUGGUUUAUUCCGAUAACGAGCGAGACUCUAGCCUGCUAAAUAGAACGAGGAUAAACCUUUUCAUAGGUCCUCGAUGCUUCUUAGAGGAAUUAGCGGUGCUUAGCCGCACGAGAUUGAGCGAUAACA
rnacentral:rRNA from 1 species